rnacentral:lncRNA from 1 species
GCUAGCUCUGGGGCCACCAGUUUUAGACUGCAAGGGAAAAUUGGUGAAUGGAGUUAGCAUAGAGGGCAGCUGCCUGGCUAUAGUUUGGGAUUUCUUCUGAGCUGAAGCAGAAGGAAAGAUUUAGCAACUGUUUGUCGUGGCAGAAAAUCAUCUCUGAUCGUUUGUGGGGCAGAGGAUUGGAGUCAAGAAGAUAUAGACAAUUUCAAACGAGAAAUCCUGACCUGUGUUGUGUGGAGCUGUGUUUGCUUGAUGAACCUGUUAUAACUCCAUCCACCUUCACUCCAAGUGAAUGGAGAUCGUUUGGCGAAUUGAAUCAGGUCCUCAAGUUUCAUCGCCAUUGACUACUGAAGGUGUGAUUUGCAGCAAGCUCCUUUACUUUCCCUAUGGUUUUCCCUGCUACAAAAUGCGGCAAUUCUUAACUCACAGAAUUCUUGAGAUGAUUAAAUAGGAUAUGUAUGGUUCUGAGUGCAGAAUAUCGAACACAGAGGCCUUUGAUAGUAACAAGAGGCUUCUACUCUGUGUUAGGAACUAUUUCACGGACUGGCAAUACCUAGAUGAAUAAAAACCAGCACAGCCUCUGACUUCAAAGAACCCACUAAAGUUGAGAUGCCCUAGGGAUUAAAUAAGACAGUGUCCCUAAAGCUAUCUAGCGUAUGU